rnacentral:lncRNA from 1 species
UCAUUGGGAUCUCGCGAGAACGAAAUCUUCCUUUCUGUGGGCGGAGCAAUCUUCCCGAUGUCUCUUCCCUCUGAGGCCAGUAGCAGGAAGGGCCUCGGGAGUUGCGAGUGUCGCGAGGUUUGAGGUCGCUCGGUGGGCCGGGCGCUGUGCGAAGCUAGAAAUAACUGGGGGCAUGGAGAAUGCGGUGGCUGUAAAGGGCCGCUGAGGCGGUGGAGGCCUGGCAGAGAGCGUCCCCGCGGUCGCGGCUUCUGGCUUCUCUGUGGAGCUUGGUUCUUCCGUGGUGGUGCAGCACCCCAGGAACUUCAGGAACCAGUCCUUCCUUGGAGAGCUCCCCGGGACAGCCACGGGGGCCAAGUGAAACUAGCGCGUUUUCUUGGAUCCUACACUUUAUAGUGAGUCAUAAAUACUUUAAAUACAAAGCCAACAACAUUUGCUGCAAAUAAACGUAAAAAUACUGUUAAAGUGUAAAGUGUUUUCCUCCGUACCAUCUGACGUUUCUGGCGGUUCGUUGAACGCGAGAGAACGCUGAGCCGUCUGCACUGAGCCCGGGAGCAUCUUCAGGGCAGCGCCGCCCACGCGCGAGGUGAAUGAAGGACACGGCCUCUUGACACUCCCAGGCAGCACAGAUAGACGGAUCCAUCCCAGUUUCUGACCUGUAGCAUAGUCCCUCUCUCUGAAGAACUUCCUGUAAUAUUUUUUGCUAGGAAGAGUUUGAAGUUUGAAAUCCCAGAAUGAGGAAAUUCAUCCAGCUUGGAGACUUCCAAUCCCUUCAUUGUGCAGAAGGUUGCUAAUGCUCUCAGGAGAAGCCCUUCACCAAGAGAAUACUUCCACAUAGAGUCCUCUCCAUUGAGACUAAGGAAACAUGCUAUGUCAUGUAGCCACAGCAGCCUUUGCAGCUGUUGAAGGCAGCAAGACUUGCAUGGCAAUCAGAAGACACAGAACCAAGACUCAUAUCCAGUUAUAAGAUGGCAGAUGGGACACACACUCAUCAGGCUUAGUGAGCAGCCAAUCCAGAGGGAACCAUACUCAGCCCUAGGGGCUGGGCGCGGUGGCUCUCGCCUGUAAUCCCAGCACUUUGGGAGGCCAAGGCGGAUGGAUCACCUGAGGUCACGAGUUCAAGACCAGCCUGACCAACAUGGAGAAAUCCCAUCUCUACUAAAAAUACAAAAUUAGCUGGGCAUGGUGGUGCAUGCCUGUAAUCCCAGUUACUCGGGAGGCUGAGGCAGGAGAAUCACUCGAACCCGAGAGGCAGAGGUUGUGGUGAGCUGAGAUUGUGCCAUUGCACUCCAGUCUGGGCAACAAGAGUGAAACUCUGUCUCAAAAAAAAAAAAAAAAAAAAAAAGCCCUAGGAAGAUUUCUUCAAACAGAUGAAGCUAAUGAUAUCCCCAGUGUGUUUGAAUAUAUUGAGAGAUCACACAAUAGGGACACUGUUUAGGGUUGAAUUAAUAGCAAGCAAAUGGGAUGCUAAGGAAAUAUAAAGAAUAAAAGUUCAAAGGGAAAACAAAAUGUUAUUCAAGAAAGUCAAAACAUCCAUCGUAACUUUUUUUUUUUUUGAGACAGAGUCUCGCUCUGUCACCCAGGUUGGAGUGCAGUGGCGUGAUCUCAGCUCACUGCAAGCUCCGCCUCCCAGGCUCACGCCAUUCUCCUGCCUCAGCCUCCCGAGUAGCUGGUACUACAGGUGGCUGCCACCACGCCCGGCUAAUUUUUUGUAAUUUUAGUACAGAUGGGGUUUCACCGUGUUAGCCAGGAUGGUCUCGAUCUCCUGACCUUGUGAUCUGCCUGCCUCAGGCUCCCAAAGUGCUGGGAUUACAGGCGUGAGCCACCGCGCCUGGCUCGUACACUGUUUUAUAUACCACUUGCAGUAUCAUGAUUGUAUAAAUACUAAAUAUCUAUUGAUCUAUCCAAAACUACAACAUAAGUAUUUUUGGAAUAUGGAGGAGUGGGUGCUGAGUAUGCAUGGGAGAAGGGAGGCUGAGGUGAAGGUGGGAGAGAAGGAGACAGUGAAAUAUUCAUCUUCCAAAUUGGAAACUCAAAUAGAUAAUGCCUAAACAUGAAAUAUCAAUAGAAAUGUAAUAUUUAAACAUAUGGUGGUGCUUCUGGGAAAAAGAAAAGAGGAUGGAGAAGACUGUUUGUUUGUAUGUUUGUUUGUUUAAACAAGCAAUAUGGAUGAAAUUACAGGCUAAGCUGCUUUAGCAAAAAGACACCAAAAUACAGAAGCUUAAAUGAGCUUGCUCUUUUGAAGAUGCUCGUCUAAAAAUAAGAUCACGUGGAGGAGAAAUGACAUGUCUGGUGCUGAAAACAACCCUACUGGGACCAGGAGAUGUGGAGCAAAAUGUAUUCAGAAAGAGACUUUGCUCUGGAAACCAUUGCUCACUGCCCUGCUGCCAAGGUCACAGAGAGCUGGAGCUUUGCUGCUGCAAAGCUGUUUACAUACAAGGAUACACAGGAACGAAAGGUCAUGGGAGGUACUUGAGCCUGGAGUCUCCAAAGUCAAAAGACAAUAAACACACCAACUUUCAGGGCUUUUAACAAGCACAAUCGGGCCAAACAAAUUCUCACUUUGGAUGUAGAUCCACAACAUCUUGCAGCAGACGGAAAUAGGACUGGGGCAAGAGUUGGUACAAACAGAAAUACUAAGUUUAUCACGACCAAAAUAGGCAAUGGAGGGUAAAAGCCCGCAACCUACUUCAAAUAUAUCUGAACUGGUGUUAAAACUAAGCUAGCAUUGAAGAGAGGGAUAAAAUUCAGGAGCAAGUUUCCAAAGAGACUCAUAAGAACCCAGAGAGAGGAAAAUCUUUUUCAGAAAAUUCAUAAAAGUUAAUGAGUCGCCAUUCUGAUGUAACGGAGAGAACUUCAGUAAUAUGACCAGUGAUGGAGUUGGUGUGAAAUGCAUAGACUCCACUAUGACCUGACCGGGUAUUUCCUCAGCAAAUAUUUGGGUAUAUUUAAUUGAAAUGCAUUUGUGGCAAAAGUCAACUCCUACAAAAAAAUUGUUAAAAUAUUCUUCCUGGAAGUUGUCUCCCAAAGUGACUCACAUCAAGUAGUCUGAAUAAAUAUGGUGAGACUUGGCACCCUCUGAGGCAUCAUUUGCUAGGAAGAAAAUGCUUUUGAAUAUCCUAGAACUCUUGGAAAACUUACAGAACCAUUGGCCUCAUGCAAGCCCAUUGUCCCUGUCCAACACACCCCCACAUCCCCUUUCCCUCACCAUCAGGCACGAAAGUCCUUCCUAAGUCGCAAAUGCAAAUCUAACUGACUGGCUUCCUUCUUACAGACCAACCACAGCUACUUGUCUUUGAAAUUCAACUUCAAGGAAGACAGAAAAGUCUAUUUUUAAUCAGAGAAAAACCUCAAAUUGAGUGCGAAUUACUGCCUAGGCCCUGUUGAAUGCACACUAGAAUCACUUUUGAGAUGAUCACUAAUUUUAUGGAGUGAUAUACACCAGAAUGAACUUCUAGCCUGCUUUAUAAUCAAUCAGUUAAUCAACAAGUCUGAGUGGAGCGUGUAUGCUUUGCGUUAUCUGCAGUGCGGCCUGAGGUUACGGGAGAAAAAAAUGGCACUGUGUAUUGCUUGAAUGCUCAGGGCUGCGUUCAACUAAUUUUAACCAUUGAAUCAAAAUGAUCAGGUAGAGGGCAGGAAAUGUAGAAUGGCUUGAACAACUACCUCAUGAAAACAUGCAGUAUGCGUUUGUAAUUCAGCAUCUUAAAAUGUCUCUUUUGGCAGUAUUUCUUUACAAAUGUGGCAAAGCAUGAUAUCUUUGAGUAAAUUUUUAAACUUCACAAAAGUUUCUGAAAAAAAUAUGUACAAUCAAAGAAAAACACUUGGAAAUAAAUUCUGUCUAUAGUUUAUGCACAUUUA